CUGUACAGGGAUAGCUCAGUUGGUAGAACAUGAGACUCUUAAUCUCAGUCGAGAGUUGGGCAGAAGAUUCCUGCUUCACAGG